rnacentral:lncRNA from 1 species
GGGUAAUUAGUAGUGUCUUUGAAUGCUUUUUCAUAGUUCAGUUAGAUUUUACUUUUAGUUCAAGUUUUUGUGGAUGAAUUUUAUUUGAAGUACUUAGUUGAUGAGAAAGUGCAAAGAUAAGCCUCAAUUGGAGUCAAGGUUGCGACAUUUCUUAUGCAAGGUAGGGACAUUGUUGAAUGUUCAUCAACUAAGGAGUUGGCCUUUAAUUUUGC